rnacentral:rRNA from 1 species
AGCGAACGUUAGCGGCGGGCCUAACACAUGCAAGUCGAACGCGAAAGGUCUUCGGACUGAGUAGAGUGGCGCACGGGUGAGUAACACGUAGGUAAUCUACCCUUUGGCGGGGGAUAACGUUCCGAAAGGAGCGCUAAUACCGCAUAAGACCACGGAGUCUCCGGACGCUGUGGGAAAAGGUGGCCUCUUCUUGAAAGCUACCACCGAAGGAUGAGCCUGCGUCCCAUCAGCUAGUUGGUAAGGUAAUGGCUUACCAAGGCGAAGACGGGUAGCUGGUUUGAGAGAAUGAUCAGCCACACUGGCACUGGAACACGGGCCAGACUCCUACGGGAGGCAGCAGUGAGGAAUAUUGGGCAAUGGGCGAAAGCCUGACCCAGCCACGCCGCGUGAGUGAUGAAGGUUUUCGGAUCGUAAAACUCUGUUGUUAGGGAAGAGCAAGUGCCGUUCGAAAGGGCGGCACCUUGACGGUACCUAACGAGAAAGCCACGGCUAACUACGUGCCAGCAGCCGCGGU